GUUAAUUAUGGUUAAUGAGACAAGUCCAGACCUAACUUCAGCUUGUUUCAUUUAAAAAGCCAAGUAUAAGUUGGCCAAAGCUUAGCCCUUUGCAAGCCUAAGUGUAUUGCAUUUUGUAAUGGUCACCAAGAAGUCAAGUGUUUGCAUUCAGGGAGCAGGAUGGGCAGAUAUAAACUAUACUUACUUGAUUUUCCAGAUUGAUUGACCU
rnacentral:misc_RNA from 1 species